rnacentral:RNase_P_RNA from 2 species
GGAGUCGGCCAGGCAGCCGCUGCCCUUCGGGGUGGAGGAAAGUCCGGGCUCCACAGGACAGGGUGCCAGGUAAUGCCUGGAAGGCGCGAGCCUAUGGAAAGUGCCACAGAAAAUAUACCGCCCCAUCAGCCCUCACAGGCGGGCGGGGUAAGGGUGAAAUGGUGCGGUAAGAGCGCACCGCGCGGCCGGCAACGGCGGUGGCAGGGCAAACCCCACCCGGAGCAAGACCAAAUAGGGGGGCAUCGGGGCAACCCGGACGUGUGGUCCGCACGGCUCCCGGGUAGGUCGCUUGAGGCGCGUCGCGAGGCGUGUCCCAGAUGAAUGGCUGUCCAAGACAGAACCCGGCUUAUCGGCCAACUCCACUU